rnacentral:lncRNA from 10 species
CUCGCGGCUGCUCUCUCUCUGGAGUAGCCAUUCUUUUAUUCCUUUACUUUUCCUGAUAAACUUGCUUUCACUUUACAGACUUGCCCUGAAUUAUUUGUUGCACGAGAUCAAAGAACCCUCUCUUGGGGUCUGGGUCGGGACCGCUUUUCAGUAACAUCUUUCUGGUGAUCACGGAAGAGACUAUAGUGUGGAAACACCCGACCCAAAGGCUAACUUUGAGCCCGGUGUGGUGGCACGCACCUGUAAUCCCAGCUACUCAGGAGGCUGAGGCAGGAGAAUCGCUUGAACCCCAGCGACAGAGGUUGCAGUGAGCUGAGAUCGCACCACUGCACUCCAGCCUGAGCGACAGAGCAAGACUCUGUCUCAAAAACAACAACAACAAACAACAACAACAAAAAACCAAAGGCUAACUUUGGGUAAGUGAUGGGGUUCAGUAACAUCUUUCUGGCAAAUCAUGGAAGGGACGAUACUGAAGAAACCCCCGACCCAAAGGAAAUAGACUGGAGCACUGAUUGGCCGACUUUGGAUUAAUCUGCCUUGCACUCUUUGCUGAUGGCUGUGGGUGACAGCAUUAAGCGUGUACAGGAUCGUGGGACAUAGGGAGCUUUUUUCUCCCUAAAAGGGGAAACUUGAGAGCUGAUGGGACUUCUGGAAAAGAUCCCUUCACGACCGACAAGCAGCCGCCUGGACUUUUCAGUGUCACUGCAAUGGGUGGGUCUUUCUCUGGCCUCCCCGAGCACCUCACCUUCCUCACCUUCCUCACCUUCCCCACCCUGCCUCAGGCAAUGCAUUCCUCUCUCUCUGUGCAAAUGGGUUAAAUGGUAAAAAUCACUGUUUAUCUCCUCUAUGAAGUUUUGAUGAAUGGAAGAAAGGAUUUGCGAGGCUAAUCUUAAACUGUAGUGAAUCUGGUGUGCUUUGCCUGUCUUUCUGUGUUCUGUGAUGGAGAGGAGUAUCUUAGGACAGAAUGAGGGCCUAGGACACCUAUAAGCCCGCUGUUCAGAGACGGCCCAGCACACUGGUCAGUUAAAAACUUCGGCCGGGUGCGGUGGCUCAC